UCCUUGUACUGUAUUCUGAACCAAGAUCUGGAAGCCCUCCAACAUUUUCAAAACAGAACUGCUUAUUAAUAUAGAGAAAAAGAAGCAGCAUCAGGAUAAUAAACACCCAAACAGCUGACAAAAACCCAACUGCCUCUGGAGAUACUUUUCUAAAACAGGAAAGCUUCCUGCUGACUCAAAAGGAUUUUUCUUCUUCUGAACUCCUAUUAUGGGAAUGGAUGAAAUCACUUACAGAGCCACAGAAGGAAACAAAGCAAAGCCAGGAUCAUGAGUUGGAUUAUCUGGAGGCCUAGGCCAAUGGGGAGUUAUUGCUUGCAGUCACUGAUCAAGCAAAUAAACUUUUCCUUCUUUCUUAUGAAAUUUAUUUAAGAAGCUGAAAUUACUUAAAUGAUAAUGAGUUGUGAGAAAAGAAUUGUAGUAGAUAUUUGUUCUCUAUCCAAAUUGCACUGAGUGGGGAGGUGUACCCAUACCCCAGCUUCGAGAAUUGACUGAUAACAGUUCACACCUGCACUUCUCCAGAGAAUUGUCCUUGUCUGACCUGAGCACCUUGUUUAGUAAUGUCUGGUAGGCUAUGCUCCACCUUCCCUGGGCAGAUCCACUGGUCUAAGACAAACAACCCAACCCUCUAAUUUCUGGGAAGAAUCACCUCCGUGAUUAAUCUAAGCUCCAGAUCUCCCAGAGAAAUCAUGCUGAGGCUACAUUUGUGAAACUACAUUUUUAUCUAGCUUCUUCCUUUGCCCUUUCCUGCUGUCCUCACUUCCUUAUGAAUUUUUUUCUGAAAGAUCUUGAUUAAUAAAUUAUUUAAUCAAGAUCCCCCAGUCAUAAGUUCUGUGUUUUGGAAUAUAACCUAUACAAAAAUAAAUUAAUUGGUACUAGAUAAUGCUCCGCUAUGCAUCUAUUUCAAUGUCUAUUCUUUGGAAGUUCUGUCAUCACACAUCCCCAAGUUUUAGAUAAGGUUUUUAGCUAACAGCCAGGAAAAGAUUCAAUAAACUUAAAAGAAAAAGUGUUUUUAAAUGUAAUAUUUUUUGUCUCUAAAGAAGUUUUUGUAUUGCAAAUGUUAAUCUCUUAAAAUAGAGGGGAACGAAGAAUGAAAAAAGAAAUAUUUUUAAGAUGUCCUUUUAAAACAUAGUCCCUCAAGCUAGUUGUUGUAGUUUUAGAAUAUAAAGAGCCCAGUAAAGAUGGUUUCAGUGAGAAGCUAUUAUUAAGAAAUGAGACUAGAAAGUUUUGGAGUCAAUAUCUGUAGCCUUUUGAUACUGAAAAUUCUGCAUAGUGGAUGGGAGUCAUGAGAAUUUUCCAGUCUUUAUUUUGGAAAUCUCUUACCUAUCCAACUAUAAUAACUGUCAUGUCAUUUAUAGUAUUAUCUUUUUGGAUUGUCCUGAGCAUUCAGUUCCAAAGUGAAGUCAAUGUAUCAUAGAACAUAUGGAAAAAUUCCAGAACUCAUGUUUAUAUUUAUUUUUAUCUAAACAAACAAUUUUUUACAGCAUUGGCUUUGAGGUGUGGAAUCUUAGCAGAAGUACAUUAAUUACUGGAUGCU
rnacentral:lncRNA from 10 species